UCAUGUCCCCUAAUUUGCUCUUCGGGAGUUGGAAUCUAACAGCUAAUGAAGAAACUCUUCCUGUGCAUGCAGAGGAAACCUGGAGUCUGUCACAGACACGCUGGGAAAAAUAAUCAGACACAAGGUAUUGAUUCUGAGAUGGCACUGAAGCUUGCAGGAGGUGAUGACUGCUCUGCAUCCACAGCAUGCUCGCUCCUCAUCCCACAAACAGGAACACAGGGAGCCCCGUGCAUGUGUCUUUUGGAACUAAUGGAAUGUGCAGGGAUCCUUUGUGACCACAGGAUGUCAUAUCUUCACAAAAAUGCCAACACGCAGAGAUGUGGCAUGAGAAUAUCACGACGACGUCCAGCUUUUCCUGGGCAAAGCAGAGGAAACUGUGGCUGAAAGAGGUUUUGCAAAUGGGUGGAUGGGGAAGCUGUCCCUGCCCACAGGCACGACUGGGAUGGUCACAGCCUGCCCACACUGAGGGUUUGACGUAGGCAUGGCCAGCUUCCCUGAAGGUAAAUAUCCAACUUGUCUUCUCCUGGGCAGUAUUUGCCUCUCAGACCCAUGGAUGAUAGUAUUCAAUUUAGCCAGAGUCGG
rnacentral:lncRNA from 12 species